UCAUCCGCACACUCCUUCCUUCCUUGCUCCUUCCUUCCUCACCCGUCGCCGCUCCCUCCCACCUCCUCCUCCUCCUUCUGCGCCCUAGGAGCCCCGCCGCCGCCCUGUUGCUACUCCUCCAUCGGCCAGCCCUGCUGCGUCGUGAGCCCCUCCCUCCUCUUCGCGUUCCGGUGGUCGAUAGUCGGGGUCAAUGAGGAGAUGCACGCGGCGGCGGCCAUGGACGACUCCAUGAGCGGGACCACCACCGUCGCGGCGCCUGCGGCCGGCGGCGCACUCCACGGGGCUCGGGAUGUCCGCGGCGGCGCGGGCUGUGGACCGAGAGGCGGGGCCCUUGAUGUGUACCGUUCGAGGGGCUGGUCGGGCUGGCGCGGGAUCUGAGCCACCGUUCAUGGAUUUCUCGCAGCUUGGCUCCUGUUGCUUUGGAUCCGGAGGAUUGGCUACUACAUACGAUUUGUGGAACUCCCAAUUAUGUUGCUCCCGAGUUUCUUCGAUGUACAAGUUAAAAAUAACAAGGGUUCUGAUGGUGCCAAGGCGGAUCCGUGGUCAUGUAGGGUGAUUUUUUUGUCGUCAUUCUGUUCGAAGAUUAAAAUCUCAUCCGCUUUACAAGACGGUGAAUAACUUGUACUACUUUUCUUUUGCCAAAUGUAAGUUCCUUUUUUGCGCGAAAAAUAAGUAAGUGCCUGAAAGAUAACCUGCUUGUUCAUGCAUAUAUACAAAGUAAGCUCCGGUUUCCCAUCUUGGUUAUCGACAAGACAAAGAAGCUCAUCAAGAAGAUAUUAGAUUGUAAUCCUCACUGUAUGUUAUGUUCAUCGGUACCAUAUCAGUUAAUUUUAUCCAAGCUUAUACACACCAUUUGACAUGUGCUAACGGUAAGUAAAACAUGGUUCAAUUAGUUGCAGUUCACGUUAAUUAUUAUACAAGGCUCAAAUUUAUAGGGUUUUUUCUAUGUCAGUCAAUGUUAGGUGAUGGAUUUAGUUGAUGUUUCCUAUGUACAUGAUUUUGAAGUUGCAGUAUAAUCUAAGUACGUGCCAAGUCUUUAGUUAUCCUGCAUUGUAUGUAUUCUUAUUCUGCCUUGCUGCAUUAGCCAAAGGCAUGGCUUUAAUUUUUUUUCCUAUACAUUUCACAUUGACAGAACCAUGCCUAAAAGCCUAAUCUCAUCAUGCGAAGAUACUUUGAAUGGAACAACAGUUUGCAAAUUGUAUGUUACUGAAAAUCUUCCAGAGAUAAAAUUGUUUUCGAAAGGUUUUGGUACUUAACAUUUCCUUUGAUUCCCCACUUAGUACUCUGAUUGCUCGUGAAGGCAAGGUCCCCAGAACAUAAUGCAGUUUGCAAAUCCCGUCUCUCCUUUUACAGGCUUUUCUGAUUGUUCAUUUGUUUGUGAAGGCAAGGUCUUGCAUGAAGGUCAUCCUCCUACAUCGCUGUGUCAGGCACUCUGAUUGCUCGUGUUGAUCGGAGUUAGAAAAGAGGAACCCAGAUUUUUGUCCGUGAACUGUAAGCAGCAACAAGAUCUUGCAAUUUCUAAUUUUCUUUUCUAGCCAUCUACGUGAUUCAGGUGCCUGGUUCCGUGCCCUCCUUUGCAUUUUUUUAGUUCAAUCAGCAGCGUUCUUAGUUUCUUCUAUCAUAUGCUUGUGUGCUAAUUCCAUGCCUUGCUCCAGUAACUAACAAGACUGCUCUUAAUUUACCAAGAUGUCAUCUAGAAUGUAUCCAUCUGCUAAUGACUUGAUGGAGUCAUAGAAAUGAGCUAUUGACACUUUUUUAGAACAGAUGCAACUGCUUGUAAUUCUGAAUAAUUAGCUUUAGUUACUGUUAAAAACAACCUGUGAAAAAUUUCUUGACUGGCCCUGCUCAGGAGAGCCGAAAUCCCUGGUUCCCCGAAAUUUCUUGACUGGCCCUGCUCACGAGAGCCGAAAUCCCUGGAGGCUGGAGUGGUAGAUGAUCUCAUGCGACAGUGGGUUGAAAGUGAGCUAGACGCUCGUGCCGCCGGUUUCGAACGCGUGCUGCCAGUCGGCUCCUUGUGUCCUCCAGUGAAUGCGAUGAGCGGAUACUCAUCUAUAGCUAUAUGUCGAACAACAGCAUGGAUCUCUGCUUAUACUUCUAUAUUUUUUCUUGCCUAUGCUCAGAAUUUGGAUCACAAUAGUAAAUAGAUCAUUAGGUUCUCUUCUAUAAUUGUUGGUUGUUGUUGUUCUGUGCUCCAACACAUACGAGCAGCUCAUUGUUGCACGGAGAUAAGUUUCAUGCACAUAAUUAAAGUUCCGGAUAACCGAAGUACAAAUCUGUAAAUACCUUUAGAGAAAGCUUGUAUGCUUGACAUGCUUGACCAUGUAAAAGCUCAUGCAUGAGUAAUUAUAUCGUCAGGUUAUUCUUUUUAUCUGCAAGGUGAGCUUCAAAAUUCUGUAAACUAGCAUUUCCAAUAGUUUAGAGCUGCCACUUUACUUUCAGUAUUUAGGUGGAUGAUCUCUGUUUAAAUUCCUAAUACAAGUAAUGCACUCCGGCAAGUUCUAUUUAUUUGUGUCCUUGCUGCCAAUAGAUGUAAUUUUAUCGCGAGCACCCAAGUACAGCAGCACUAUUGCCGUUCAUUAUUGUUGGCUUAUGCCCUAGAGAGAAAAUAAUUAGCAUUUACCUCUGUGUACCGGACUGUAGUUGUACCAUAUGCCUAUUGUAUCAUUUUCAUCCUUGAUAGAUGCAGCGAGUAAAUUGUCACUGAAAAAUGUUGUGGUUGCAGCGUUUGUUUUGUUAAUUCUGCAUUCCUUCCUUUAUGAGAAAAGUGUUACUUCUGCGUUAGUUAUAUGUUAUUUUUGUCUAUUUUUGUAAAAAUAUUCAUACGUGUGUUUGAAUUGUUUUUAGUAGCUGUCUUUAUUACUCUCUCCGAUUGAACAAAAAAUCGGAGGCUGCCUACAGCAAGUCCGUUUGUCAUCAACGCCUUUCUUUGCUUGGUAGCUCCACAUCCAAUCUUUCAAGCUACAUCCAUAUGUAAGAAAGUUACAAUUAAUCCAGUACUAAUAGUUUUGUACGUACGUAUAUGCACACCCACCCCUUCUAUAUACAUAUGAUUCAGGAGCAUCUUUUACUAGCAUUUUGUUUCAUUGCCCCAUACAAAAUUUAUGCAAGUGAUGUCUAUUGUUUUUUCCUUUGUCUAAAUAUUACUACAGAAGCAUGUCUUGAAUAAAAGCUGGUUGGCGUCGUCGCAAUUGCCAAUGUGUGUGGACGUAUUUUUCAUCUUCCACAUGUUCUCUGUCGAGAGCAAUGAGCAUAGUUUUCACUGCGAAAAGCAACCCUGAAUUAGUUUUCGAAAUUAUAUUUCAUGGCUUUCAAAGUUUUAAUAUGAUUGUUGUUGCUAAUGGCCAUGUCGCAAACGUCGGCCGGUGCACACCAUGUUGCGUGCUGUUCUGCGAUUUCUGAGGUACUCUCUCUCUCUCUCUCUCUCAAAAUGGUAAAAAAACUCAUACUAAACGGGAGGGUCUACAAUUUUACUACCUGGCAUGAGUUACCACUGUAUUUUUAUUCUUCUAAUUACAACAUGUAGAAAUGUGUGUUAAGAGUUCAAUCAUAUACAAAGAUGCCUAUAUGUUGUUUUUGGUUUUACCUCCAUAAAACUAAAAUGGUUCUCUCCUAACAGAGAGGCAGUGGAUAUGUGCUUCUCAAUCAAGGAGCUUUUGUCAAACCGGGUAUGCAACCAUGCACGUUGUAGUUCAUACUAUAUGGAAUUUACUUUCAGUAGGAAUGUGCGUAUGUUGCUCCGGUGAUAGUAAGCAUUUGCAUAUAAGUUGCAUCAUAAUAAUCUUCACAUUUUAGUUGCAUCAUAAUAAUCUUCUUCUUCUAGUCUUCUUCUUCUAACUUUCUUCUUUCC